AACACUGUAUCAUAUGACACAGCUGUCUUUCCUCCCUAAGAGGUUUAUACAUUACUCCUUUACAAGCCAACUUUUCUCAGCAUUCUCAACAGAGCAAAGAAAUCUCAAAUUAUCUGAAAGGAAACUGGUCCAUGAAAGCAGAGCAACUAUCCAGACAAUUGCUGAUACAGAUUGCUGUCCUCAACAGCACUAGGCUGGACCCCAUCACAAUUGAAGACUUUACCUCAUGGAUUACCAAUGCUUUCUCCUUUUUUAAGGAGUGGGCGGGCAUGUUUGCCUGGGGAGCUAUUGUCCUCCUGGGAUGCGGAGUAUGUCUCUGGCUUAUUGGCCGUUUAAAAAGAGAACAUGCCAGACACAAAGCGGUUGUUUACCAGGCUAUGACUGCCAUUGACAAUGGUGCUUCUCCCAAUGUAUGGCUGGCCUCUUUGAAAGAGUUCGCCCUAGAUCAUUUUUGUCACAGUCAUGUGGGGUCAUUGUAUCCAGGGACGGGCAACUUUCCUCGAGCUCAGACCAACCUAAGACACGGGGCCCGGUGGCGAUAGGGUGACCCAACGACGGGUAAGGCCGAGUCAUCGUCAGGAACGACCUAAGACAGGAGCAAUGACAAGAUUGACGUGACACCCAGAUCUAGACCAGUCAUUUUAUUAAACAAAAAAGGGGGAGAUGUAGGGAGCGGUGCGACAGCUGUAUGAUAAUGAGGUGAAUCUGGCGCCCUCCUAACAACAGUACUGAGCAUGCAUGGAGUUUUGCACCUGACGUCAGUCUGGCUGGGGCGGUACUAUGCUAAAUGGGAGUUCAUGCCUUGCCAAUCUCUGGAGGACAAGUAGCUGGGAUGGCAGUGGGGUGACUCGUGCCCCACCAAUCCCUGAAAGAAGAUUAGCAUACUGUUGUGUAUAUAAGCCGAGCGGCAAAGGCGCGGUAACACUUAAAGCUGUAACACUUGGAGCUGUAACAUUUGGAGCUGUAACACUUAGGGCUGGCUGCCGCCGCCUCCCUGUAUCAACAAAGAAGGUGUCCUGCAGUAAAGGCUGUUGAGAAGAAUCCAACCGUGUUGCGUCUUCCUUGCCGGACGAGGUGGGCGCGACACCGUGGGAAGAAGUCUUACGACUUACUGCUUGGCAGUGAUUUCACACUGAAGAAGCGUGAACGUGGAGUGUGGAGAGGCCUUUGGUUGCUUCUGAUUAGCAGAAAAACUCAUAUUGAUUUGAGAAAACCUUAGGAGUGUAAGGACCUUGGGGAGGCCUAUUGUGGGACCUCAAACCUUGCCAAAUAAACUUGGAAUUCAUCCUCGCGAGACCCUCGUCAGUAUAAAGAAUGUGGGAGAGGCUUCCAUUAUAGCAAUCGACUUUCACAGCAUUGGGAAAACCAUACCAGCGAGAGACCUUCUAAUUUUGAGACUGUGUGGAACGGCUUUUUGUUGGCGUCAUCAACCCGCUUGCCAUCCUGAAGUUCACAGCGGC
rnacentral:lncRNA from 1 species